rnacentral:rRNA from 1 species
AGUGAACGCUGGCGGUAGGCCUAACACAUGCAAGUCGAACGGCAGCACAGAGGAGCUUGCUCCUUGGGUGGCGAGUGGCGGACGGGUGAGGAAUACAUCGGAAUCUACUCUGCCGUGGGGGAUAACGUAGGGAAACUUACGCUACUACCGCAUACGACCUACGGGUGAAAGCAGGGGAUCUUCGGACCUUGCGCGACCGAAUGAGCCGAUGUCGGAUUAGCUAGUUGGCGGGGUAAAGGCCCACCAAGGCGGCGAUCCGUAGCUGGUCUGAGAGGAUGAUCAGCCACACUGGAACUGAGACACGGUCCAGACUCCUACGGGAGGCAGCAGUGGGGAAUAUUGGACAAUGGGCGCAAGCCUGAUCCAGCCAUACCGCGUGGGUGAAGAAGGCCUUCGGGUUGUAAAGCCCUUUUGUUGGGAAAGAAAUCCAUCUGGUUAAUACCCGGGUGGGAUGACGGUACCCAAAGAAUAAGCACCGGCUAACUUCGUGCCAGCCGCCGCGGUAA